UAUAUAUAUAUAUAUAUAUAUAUAUAUAUGUGUGUGAAAUAAAGCUUUGGCAUAACCGAGUCAAUUAAUUAAUGGCUAAUGCCUUAAAGCACAUGUCCUCGCUGGAUUUCAAAGGUUGCCACUUGCCAGUGGGCUUGACUUGUUUUCUUUUGAGUAAACGUUGCUUUGCUUUAAUUUUACGUUUUUUAUUCUUAUUUUUUACAUUUUUUUUUGGGGGGAUUAGAUGAUUUUGCUUCACUUUCUUUAUAUGUACCAUGAACGAUAUGGCCUACCAAUGUAACAAAAAAGAAUACCAAUGGGGACAACGAAGACAUCAAACGUUGCUCUUCCCUUAACUACUUUACUUCUUCUGCUCAUUUGUGUUUUCUCUCAUGUCGGAGCCGUCGAGGCAACAAGUCGAAGACUAGGAACCAUAGAGACUGGACCCUCCAUAUCACGGCCCGGUGGAGGAAGAAACCACGACGCAGAAAAGAUGGCUACGGAAGCCACGAGCUACAAAAAUGGAGUUCCUUGAUUAUAAUUCCAUUGGAAGAAUCGCAGGUGUUACAUCUGUUUGAACAAAUAAGCAAUGGAAGUGUCUGAUGUCUAAUUAAGAACCAAUGAUCUACUGCUUGUCAUUGUUGUUGUUGUUGUUGUUGUUGUUGCUGGUUGUAGUUCUAUUCCUGCCAUGGACUGCUGCUUGUGUUACUCCUUUCUUUAUAUACAAGCAUUUAAUACAAGUGCACA